GAAUUGCAGGACGCACUGCCGUAGACAGUAGGUGCCGGUGAACCGGUGUAAGUACAAACGCCUACCGAGGAAGAUGAAUUUCUAUAUGAAUUAUUUUCACCUCGUUCGGCUUGAAUUAUGCGGCGAGGUUUUUUAUUUUGUCU
rfam:Clostridium sp. CAG:253 genomic scaffold, scf129